rnacentral:rRNA from 1 species
GCAAGUCGAACGGUAACAGGAAGCAGCUUGCUGCUUCGCUGACGAGUGGCGGACGGGUGAGUAAUGUCUGGGAAGCUGCCUGAUGGAGGGGGAUAACUACUGGAAACGGUAGCUAAUACCGCAUAAUGUCGCAAGACCAAAGAGGGGGACCUUCGGGCCUCUUGCCAUCGGAUGUGCCCAGAUGGGAUUAGCUUGUUGGUGGGGCAACGGCUCACCAAGGCGACGAUCCCUAGCUGGUCUGAGAGGAUGACCAGCCACACUGGAACUGAGACACGGUCCAGACUCCUACGGGAGGCAGCAGUGGGGAAUAUUGCACAAUGGGCGCAAGCCUGAUGCAGCCAUGCCGCGUGUAUGAAGAAGGCCUUCGGGUUGUAAAGUACUUUCAGCGGGGAGGAAGGGAGUAAAGUUAAUACCUUUGCUCAUUGACGUUACCCGCAGAAGAAGCACCGGCUAACUCCGUGCCAGCAGCCGCGGUAAUACGGAGGGUGCAAGCGUUAAUCGGAAUUACUGGGCGUAAAGCGCACGCAGGCGGUUUGUUAAGUCAGAUGUGAAAUCCCCGGGCUCAACCUGGGAACUGCAUCUGAUACUGGCAAGCUUGAGUCUCGUAGAGGGGGGUAGAAUUCCAGGUGUAGCGGUGAAAUGCGUAGAGAUCUGGAGGAAUACCGGUGGCGAAGGCGGCCCCCUGGACGAAGACUGACGCUCAGGUGCGAAAGCGUGGGGAGCAAACAGGAUUAGAUACCCUGGUAGUCCACGCCGUAAACGAUGUCGACUUGGAGGUUGUGCCCUUGAGGCGUGGCUUCCGGAGCUAACGCGUUAAGUCGACCGCCUGGGGAGUACGGCCGCAAGGUUAAAACUCAAAUGAAUUGACGGGGGCCCGCACAAGCGGUGGAGCAUGUGGUUUAAUUCGAUGCAACGCGAAGAACCUUACCUGGUCUUGACAUCCACGGAAGUUUUCAGAGAUGAGAAUGUGCCUUCGGGAACCGUGAGACAGGUGCUGCAUGGCUGUCGUCAGCUCGUGUUGUGAAAUGUUGGGUUAAGUCCCGCAACGAGCGCAACCCUUAUCCUUUGUUGCCAGCGGUCCGGCCGGGAACUCAAAGGAGACUGCCAGUGAUAAACUGGAGGAAGGUGGGGAUGACGUCAAGUCAUCAUGGCCCUUACGACCAGGGCUACACACGUGCUACAAUGGCGCAUACAAAGAGAAGCGACCUCGCGAGAGCAAGCGGACCUCAUAAAGUGCGUCGUAGUCCGGAUUGGAGUCUGCAACUCGACUCCAUGAAGUCGGAAUCGCUAGUAAUCGUGGAUCAGAAUGCCACGGUGAAUACGUUCCCGGGCCUUGUACACACCGCCCGUCACACCAUGGGAGUGGGUUGCAAAAGAAGUAGGUAGCUUAACCUUCGGGAGGGCGCUUACCACUUUGUGAUUCAUGACUGGGGUGAAGUCGUAACAAGGUAACCGUAGGGGAACCUGCGGUUG